rnacentral:lncRNA from 1 species
GUGGAAUCAUUCAUUGUUUUUGUGAGGAGGAGGAAUACAAGUUUCUGGUAAUUAACAAAGCAAGCUUUUGUUUAUGAUACAAGUUCAGUAAUUAACUUUUGUUUCUAUACACAGAGAUAGCAAAAUAAAAUUCAAAAAGUUUCAAUCAACGAAGAAACAAAAUAAUUUAUGAUCAUCAAUCACUUGUACAGCUAAAAGUUUUGAUCUUUAGGCACAAAAAGAUCAAAAGUUCCAAUCUUUCUUUCAUGGUUCUUUCAAAAACCUCUGCAAGCAUCUAAA